UACGUAGGUGGCAAGCGUUGUCCGGAAUUAUUGGGCGUAAAGCGCGCGCAGGCGGUUCUUUAAGUCUGAUGUGAAAGCCCACGGCUCAACCGUGGAAGGUCAUUGGAAACUGGAGGACUUGAGUACAGAAGAGGAAAGCGGAAUUCCACGUGUAGCGGUGAAAUGCGUAGAGAUGUGGAGGAACACCAGUGGCGAAGGCGGCUUUCUGGUCUGUAACUGACGCUGAGGCGCGAAAGCGUGGGGAGCAAACAGG
rnacentral:rRNA from 1 species